AUUGAUUGAAGAGGUUGGUGUGAUUACAGGGAAGUUCAACUUUCAAGAUUAUAUUUGGUUUUGCAAGAAUAUAGAUGUACAAGGAUUUGGGAAGAGGAUUAAGAAAGUGCAAGUGAGAUUGGAUUCAAUGAUGGAAAGUAUCCUGAAAGAGCAUGAAGAGGCAAGGAUGAAGAAGAAGAAUGGCAAGACAAGUGAAAAUGGUGAAUUGGGUGAUGAUUUCAGCAAGGAUCUUGUUGAUAUAUUGCUGGAUAUCAUGGAAGAUGAAAGCUCAGAGAUGAGACUUUCCAGGGAGAGUGUCAAAGCCUUUAUCCUGGAGAUGUUUACUACGGG
rnacentral:misc_RNA from 1 species